rnacentral:rRNA from 1 species
CACGUAGGGUGCGAGCGUUGUCCGGAAUUAUUGGGCGUAAAGAGCUCGUAGGCGGUUGGGUAAGUCGGGUGUGAAAACUCCAGGCUCAACUUGGAGACGCCACCCGAUACUGCUCUGACUUGAGUCCGGGAGAGGUGAGUGGAACUGCGAGUGUAGAGGUGAAAUUCGUAGAUAUUCGCAAGAACACCAGUGGCGAAGGCGGCUCACUGGCCCGGUACUGACGCUGAGGAGCGAAAGCGUGGGUAGCGAACAGG